GAUGAACGCUGCCGGCGUGCCUAAUACAUGCAAGUCGAGCGAACGGACGAGAGGCUUGAUUCUCUGAUUUUAGCUGCUUCCGGGUGGGUAACACGUGGAUAACCUACCUAUAAGACUGGGGUGACUUCGGGCAACCGGAGCGAAUACCGGAUAAUAUUUUGCACCUCAUGGUUCCAAAGUGCUAGACUGUCUUGCUGUCACUUAUAGAUGGAUCCGCGCUGCAUGAGCUAGUUGGUAAGGUAACGGCUUACCAAGGCAACGAUGCAUAGCCGACCUGGGAGUGUGAUGGGCCACACUGGGACUGAGACACGGUCCAGACUCCUAAGCGGGUGAGCAGUCGGGAAGGUUCGGGAAUAGGCGAAAGCCUGACGGAGAAACGCCGCGUGAGAGAUGAUGGUCAUCGGAGCGGAAAAUGCUGUUAUUAGGGAAGAAUAGAUGUGUAAGUAUCUGUGCACAGCUUGACGGGACCGAAACAGAAAGCCACGGCUAACUACGGG
rnacentral:rRNA from 1 species